UGUCGCCCGCAAGGGCGCAUGGUGGAUGCCUUGGCAGACAGUACCGACGAAGGACGUUUGAGGAUGCGAUAAGCCUCGGGGAGCCUCCAGCAUGGCUUCGAUCCGAGGAUUUCCGAAUGGGGCAACCCGCCGGCCGUCAUGGGCCGGCACCGCAGGCUUCUGCGGGGGGUACGCAGGGAAGUGAAACAUCUCAGUACCUGCAGGAAGGGAUACUCCGUGAGUAGUGGCGAGCGAAAGCGGAUCAGACCAAACCGCGUGCGCGUGAUACCCGUCGGGGGUUGCGUGCGCGGUGUUGAGGGAGCGCGUGUCCCGGUUCCGACGGACCGGGCGGGAGUCAUAAAACGGCUUGCCAGGGGAACAGGCUUGAAGGCCUGGCCGCAGAGGGUGCCAGCCCCGUACCUGGACGCUUGCCGUCUUCCGAUCGCGUGUCCCAAGUAGCGCGGGCCUCGUGGAAUCCCGCGUGAAUCCGCACCGACCGUGGUGUAAGUCUAAGCAUACCUGUCUGACCGAUAGCGUACCAGUACCGUGAGGGAAAGGUGAAAAGCACCCCGGGAGGGGAGUGAAAGAGUUCCUGAAACCGUGCGCCUACGAUCCGUCGGAGCCUCCUUGUGGGGUGACGGCGUGCCUAUCGAAAAAUGAGUCUGCGAGUCAGUGAUGCGUGGCGAGGCUAACCCGUCGUGGGGCAGCCGUAGCGAAGGCGAGUCCGAACAGGGCGUUUCUAUAGUCGCGUGUCCUGGACCCGAAGCGGGAUGAUCUAGCCCUGGGCAGGUUGAAGCGCGGGUAAGACCGCGUGGAGGACCGAACCCACCUGGGUUGAAAACCGGGGGGAUGACCUGGGGCUAGGGGUGAAAGGCCAAUCAAAUUCCGUGAUAGCUGGUUCUCUCCGAAAUGCAUUUAGGUGCAGCGUCGGCUUAUUGCAUCGCGGGGGUAGAGCUACCGGAUGCUUGCGGGCCCUUGUGGGGUACCAACAGCAGCCGAACUCCGAAUACCGUUGAUGUGUAUGCCGGCAGUGAGUCGGCGGGGGAUAAGCUCCGUCGUCGAGAGGGAGACAGCCCAGACCGUCGUCCAAGGUCCCCAAGCGUGUGCUAAGUGGGAAAGGAUGUGGGGCCGCAUAGACAGCCAGGAGGUUGGCUCAGAAGCAGCCAUCCUUGAAAGAGUGCGUAACAGCUCACUGGUCUAGUGGUCCCGCGCCGACAAUGUAGCGGGGCUCAAGCACACCACCGAAGACGCGGCGGCGCGUGUAUGCGCGCCGGGUAGGAGAGCGUCCUGCAAGGGGCGAAGCGGCCGGGUGACCGUGCCGUGGACUUUGCGGGAGUGAGAAUGCAGACAUGAGUAGCGAGAGACGGGUGAGGAUCCCGUCCGCCGGAUGACCAAGGGUUCCGGGGCCACGUUCGUCGUCCCCGGGUGAGUCGGGUCCUAAGGCGAGGCCGACAGGCGUAGUCGAAUGGAUGAACGGGUGGAUAUUCCCGUACCGGCAGCGAACCGACAGGACCGAGGCGGUGAGUACUAACCUCCGUCGCGGGCCGUUCCCCUCCUUCGGGUGGGGUCCGGCGCGUGGCGUUGGGAGCGUAGCCGUGGUAGGUGAGCGCAGGGGUGACACGGAAUGGGAGCCGGCCGCGGAGGUGGUUUUCCGUGGUCAAGCACGCAGCCAGUCGCACAGGCAAAUCCGUGCGGCGCGUAUGGCGAGGUGCGAUGAUGGGAGCCGUUUCGGCUCGAUAUCCGGUGGUCCAGGCCGUCGAGAAAAGCCCCGGCGUCAGGCGCGUUGCCGCCCGUACCCCAAACCGACACUGGUGGUCAGGUAGAGAAUACCAAGGCGAUCGAGCGAAUCCUGGUCAAGGAACUCGGCAAACCGCUCCCGUGCCUUCGGCAUAAGGGAGACCCCCGCGGGUGAACGGACAUGCUCCGGGAGCGUGUGGGGGUGGCACAGACCAGGGGGUAGCGACUGUUUACCAAAAACACAGGUGCAUGCGAAGGCGUAAGCCGCUGUAUAUGCACUGACGCCUGCCCGGUGCCGGAAGGUUAAGAGGAUCCGUCAGCCCCUCUUGGGGGUGAAGCGGUGAAUUCAAGCCCCGGUAAACGGCGGUGGUAACUAUAACCAUCCUAAGGUAGCGAAAUUCCUUGUCGGGUAAGUUCCGACCUGCACGAAUGGCGU
rnacentral:rRNA from 1 species